GCUUUAAAAGCCUCCUGAUGCACCAAUUCAGUCCAUUGUGAGACUGCAGGUCGAGAAGAUGACAGCUCGAGUGUGCUGCGCGUUGAUCAUUGUUUUGUUGUGUCUCUCUGUAUUCUUGAACACAACAGAUGCCAGAAGUCUAACCACAGUGACCUUGGAUAAGGUGUGUGCCAAUCAAAGUGACUGUCUAGGUUUGAUGUGCUGCAGAAAUAUAUGUACACGUGAAUGUACACCUCUAUUUGACUGGUCCUGAUCCAUAACUGACUGAAGUGCUGAGAUCUCAUCCAUGAUGAUCAAUGUCCCGUCAGACAGAAGAGCUGCCCAACCACCUGUGACCAUGUAGCAGCUAACCAUGUCAAUUUAGCCAUCAGGAAUAAGUCUACGAUUUGGUGGUUGUGCUUUCUUUUUUCUUUUCUUUUUUUCCUCCAUGCUAUACAGAGUUGUUAACUGUAAAUGUCUUUUACAUUCAUAAAGAUCUGAGUUUAGUAAAACUUCUGUGUGUAUGUGGUUGGGGUGUGUGGCAUGGAUGUAUCUAAUGCAAAUGAAAGGCAGUCUCCAGUUGACUGGCAGAGAUGAUAAAAGGUGAUUGUGAUGCCAAUAAUACCCUGUGUGAGAGUGCUUUCACUGAAUUUAAUGGGACUAUAGUUGAGGAAAUAAUGGGUAAAAUGGGAUUAGUUUGUCGUAUCAAUGGUAGCAGUACAAGACUGGAUGUAGUGGAUAAUUGUAACUGCUGUAUUUUUCAGUUUUCUUGGUUUUUAUUUUGUGUUUAUGUAACUCAUGUAUUAUUGCAAAUCAGUUUUUACCAUGAAGAUUAGAUGCUGACAUGCCAAUAACAAUAAAGGACUACUACUACUGGA